GACGUAGGGGGCGAGCGUUAUUCGGAAUUACUGGGCGUAAAGCGCACGUAGGCGGCUUUGUAAGUUAGAGGUGAAAGCCCAGGGCUUAACCCUGGAAUUGCCUUUAAGACUGCAUCGCUAGAAUCGUGGAGAGGUGAGUGGAAUUCCGAGUGUAGAGGUGAAAUUCGUAGAUAUUCGGAAGAACACCAGUGGCGAAGGCGACUCACUGGACACGUAUUGACGCUGAGGUGCGAAAGCGUGGGGAGCAAACAGG
rnacentral:rRNA from 1 species